rnacentral:rRNA from 1 species
UACGGGGGGGGCAAGCGUUGUCCGGAAUCACUGGGCGUAAAGGGCGCGUAGGUGGUUUGAUAAGGGUGUGGUGAAAGUCCGGGGCUCAACCCCGGAUCUGCCGUGCCGACUGUCAAACUCGAGGGCUGUAGAGGCAGACGGAAUUCCGGGUGUAGCGGUGGAAUGCGUAGAGAUCCGGAGGAAGACCGGUGGCGAAGGCGGUCUGCUGGGCAGUUUCUGACACUGAGGCGCGACAGCGUGGGGAGCAAACAGG